rnacentral:rRNA from 1 species
CUGCGGAGGGAUCAUUACUGAGUGAGGGCCUCCGGGUCCGACCUCCAACCCUUUUGUGAACCACCUCUGUUGCUUCGGGGGCGACCCCGCCGUUCGCGCGGCGGCGGCGCCCCCGGAGGCCAAAUCAAAACACUGCGUAACUUUUGUGUCGGAGUCUGAUUAAAUCAAUCAAAACUUUCAACAACGGAUCUCUUGGUUCUGGCAUCGAUGAAGAACGCAGCGAAAUGCGAUAAGUAAUGUGAAUUGCAGAAUUCAGUGAAUCAUCGAAUCUUUGAACGCACAUUGCGCCCCUUGGUAUUCCGAGGGGCAUGCCUGUUCGAGCGUCAUUUCACCACUCAAGCCUGGCUUGGUAUUGGGCGCCGCGGGACUCCCGCGCGCCUUAAAGUCUUUUUCCGGCUGAGCGACCCGUCUCUAAGCGUUGUGGCAACUAUUCGCGGCGAGAUCGGGUGGCGGCGGCCGUUAAAUCUUUUCAUUCAGGUUGACCUCGGAUCAGGUAGGGAUACCCGCUGAACUUAAGCAUAUCAAUAAGCGGAGGAAAAGAAACCAACAGGGAUUGCCCUAGUAACGGCGAGUGAAGCGGCAACAGCUCAAAUUUGAAACCUGGCGCAAGCCCGGAUUGUAAUUUGCAGAGGAUGCUUCUGGGCAGCGGCCGUUCUAA